GACGAACGCUGGCGGCGUGCUUAACACAUGCAAGUCGAACGGAAAGGCCCUGCUUUUGUGGGGUGCUCGAGUGGCGAACGGGUGAGUAACACGUGAGUAACCUGCCCAUGACUGUGGGAUAACUUCAGGAAACUGGGGCUAAUACCGGAUAGGAGCUCCUGCUGCAUGGGGGGGGUUGGAAAGUAUCGGCGGUUGGGGAUGGACUCGCGGCUUAUCAGCUUGUUGGUGGGGUAGUGGCUUACCAAGGCUUUGACGGGUAGCCGGCAUGAGAGGGUGGCCGGGGACCAUGGGCCUGAGAUACGCACCAGAGUCCUACGGGAGGCAGCAGUCGGGAAUAUUGCACAAUGGGCGGACGCCUGAUGCAGAAACGCUGCGUGCGGGAUGACGGCCUACGGGUUGUAAACCGCUUUCGCCUGAGACGAAGCGUGAGUGACGGUAAUGGGUAAAGAAGCACCGGCUAACUACGUG
rnacentral:rRNA from 1 species